GGAGUGGGCUAGACGGCCGCGCGUGCCCGCAAUGGUGCGUGAGGAAAGUCGGGGCUCCAUAGGGCAGAGUGCCUGCUAACGGCAGGUCGGCGCGAGCCGACGGAAAGUGCCACAGAAAAGAAAACUCCCUCGCCGGGUUCGCUCGGCGGAGGAAAAGCUGAAACGGUGCGGUAAGAGCGCACCAGCGUCAUGGCAACAUGGCGGCUUGGCAAACCCCACUCGGAGCAAGGGCAAAUAGGAGCGGUUAAGGUCGGCCCGACCGACGCUCGGGUAUGCCCGCUUGAGGCCAUCGGCGACGAUGGUCCUAGAUAAAUGGUCGUCCACGACAGGACCCCGCUUAUCGGCCCACUCCCCUG
rnacentral:RNase_P_RNA from 1 species